UACGUAGGGGGCAAGCGUUGUCCGGAUUUAUUGGGCGUAAAGAGCUCGUAGGCGGCUCGGUAAGUCGGAUGUGAAACCUCCAGGCUCAACCUGGAGACGCCAUCUGAUACUGCCGUGGCUUGAGUCCGGUAGAGGAGCAGGGAAUUCCUGGUGUAGCAGUGAAAUGCGUAGAUAUCAGGAGGAACACCGAUGGCGAAGGCAGGUCUCUGGGCUGAAACUGACGCUCAUGCACGAAAGCGUGGGGAGCAAACAGG
rnacentral:rRNA from 1 species